GGAGAGAUGGCCGAGAGGCUGAAGGCGGCGGUUUGCUAAACCGUUAUACGGGUUUUUAGCCCGUAUCGAGGGUUCGAAUCCCUCUCUCUCCGCCA
rnacentral:tRNA from 1 species